CCAAAAUGGAUCAAAAAGGCUAACACCAAAAUGGAUAAUGAAGAUUCAAAGCAGCAGCCAGAGUUUAGGUAUAAAAAAAUUGGCCAAAUGGUGUAAUUUUAUCUCAAGUGGGUUGUUAUACAUUAGAAGACAACAAGAAAAUUGCUAUUAUCGGUUUCUUAAGUGUUUCGAUGGAAUCAUCCUCAUCGGUGAACUACGAUGAAACCUACAUCGUUCCUUUCAAUUUAUUAAGUAGGGAAGAUGCUGCCAUGGCAUUGAGUGGGUCUGGAUGGGCAGUUAAACAAAGUGUCCGUAGCCGCCA
rnacentral:sRNA from 1 species